rnacentral:rRNA from 1 species
UACAGAGGGUGCAAGCGUUAAUCGGAAUUACUGGGCGUAAAGCGUGCGCAGGCGGUUCGUUGUGUCGGCGGGGAAAGCCCCGGGCUCAACCUGGGAAUGGCCGUUGAAACUGGCGAACUGGAGUGUGGCAGAGGGGGGUGGAAUUCCGCGUGUAGCAGUGAAAUGCGUAGAGAUGCGGAGGAACACCGAUGGCGAAGGCAGCCCCCUGGGCUAACACUGACGCUCAGGCACGAAAGCGUGGGGAGCAAACAGG